GUGAGGCUUUGCAACAAGAUCUUAAUAAAGCUGCUGCGGACGGCUCGUUGUGAUGCACAGGAAGAUAACUCGAGUUUAAGCCGGAGAAACUGAGGUCAUUCCGAGCGGAAGGGCGAGAGACGAUCUCCUCAGUUCUAACACCGCUGGAUGAGAGAUGAGCCGCGAUCGUCCCCGGCUGGGACGAUCUUCCUGGACGGCGCGACGUUUUGGACCCAUCUGGCCCCGAGCCCGUCCCCUGCCAGACGUCCCG
ensembl:lncRNA